CGCAUUAGUGAUGAUCCAAUAGUUCUGUCGUCUGCCGACGAAAAUACUAUAAAACGGAAGAAAUGGUCCUAUGCCAACGGGAAGGUAUGGCCAACAUCUAUGACGCAUUGAAAUGCGCCCAAAUCAA